rnacentral:rRNA from 1 species
GAUGAACGCUAGCUACCGGUCUUAACACAUGCAAGUCGAGGGGCAGCGGGAUUGAAGCUUGCUUCAAUUGCCGGCGACCGGCGCACGGGUGAGUAACGCGUAUCCAACCUUCCGCUUACUCGGGGAUAGCCUUUCGAAAGAAAGAUUAAUACCCGAUGGUAUCUUAAGCACGCAUGAGAUUAAGAUUAAAGAUUUAUCGGUAAGCGAUGGGGAUGCGUUCCAUUAGGCAGUUGGCGGGGUAACGGCCCACCAAACCUACGAUGGAUAGGGGUUCUGAGAGGAAGGUCCCCCACAUUGGAACUGAGACACGGUCCAAACUCCUACGGGAGGCAGCAGUGAGGAAUAUUGGUCAAUGGGCGAGAGCCUGAACCAGCCAAGUAGCGUGAAGGAUGACGGCCCUACGGGUUGUAAACUUCUUUUGUGCGGGAAUAAAGGAACCUACGUGUAGGUUUUUGCAUGUACCGUAACGAAUAAGCAUCGGCUAACUCCGUGCCAGCAGCCGCGGUAAUACGGAGGAUGCGAGCGUUAUCCGGAUUUAUUGGGUUUAAAGGGAGCGUAGACGGGUUUUUAAGUCAGCUGUGAAAGUUUGGGGCUCAACCUUAAAAUAGCAGUUGAAACUGGAGACCUUGAGUACGGUUGAGGCAGGCGGAAUUCGUGGUGUAGCGGUGAAAUGCUUAGAUAUCACGAAGAACCCCGAUUGCGAAGGCAGCCUGCUAAGCCGCCACUGACGCUGAGGCUCGAAAGUGUGGGUAUCANACAGG